rnacentral:rRNA from 1 species
GACGAACGCUGGCGGCGUGCUUAACACAUGCAAGUCGAACGCUGAAGCUCAGCUUUUGUUGGGUGGAUGAGUGGCGAACGGGUGAGUAACACGUGAGUAACCUGCCUCCUUCUUUGGGAUAACGCCCGGAAACGGGUGCUAAUACUGGAUAUUCACUGGUCUUCGCAUGGGGGUUGGUGGAAAGGGUUUUUCUGGUGGGGGAUGGGCUCGCGGCCUAUCAGCUUGUUGGUGGGGUGAUGGCCUACCAAGGCUUUGACGGGUAGCCGGCCUGAGAGGGUGACCGGUCACAUUGGGACUGAGAUACGGCCCAGACUCCUACGGGGGGCAGCAGUGGGGAAUAUGGCACAAUGGGCGAAAGCCUGAUGCAGCGACGCCGCGGGAGGGAUGGGGGCCUUCGGGUUGUGAACCUCUUUCGCUAAUGGUCAAGCCGCAACAAUGGUUGUGGUGAGGGUAGUGGGUAAAGAAGCGCCGGCUAACUACGUG